rnacentral:rRNA from 1 species
GAUGAACGCUAGCGGCAGGCUUAAUACAUGCAAGUCGAGGGGCAACAGCUUUGUAGCAAUACAGGGGCUGGCGACCGGCAAACGGGUGCGGAACACGUACACAACCUUCCUUUAAGUGGGGGAUAGCCCAUAGAAAUGUGGAUUAAUACCCCGUAAGAUUAUGUGGUGGCAUCACUAUAUAAUAAUAGCUAAGGCGCUUGAAGAUGGGUGUGCGUCUGAUUAGGUAGUUGGUGGGGUAAAGGCCCACCAAGCCAACGAUCAGUAGCUGAUGUGAGAG